CUUGGUCAUUUAGAGGAAGUAAAAGUCGUAACAAGGUUUCCGUAGGUGAACCUGCGGAAGGAUCAUUAUCGUAGGGCUUCGGCCCUGUCGAGAUAGAACCCUUGCCUUUUUCGAGUACCGUCCGUUUCCCCAGCAGGCUUGCCUGCUACUGGGGACCCAAAACCAAACUCUUUUGUACCUGUAAUCGUCUGAAAACAAAACAAAAAUUAAAACUUUUAACAACGGAUCUCUUGGUUCUGGCAUCGAUGAAGAACGCAGCGAAAUGCGAUAAGUAGUGUGAAUUGCAGAAUUCAGUGAAUCGUCGAAUCUUUGAACGCACAUUGCGCCCUUUGGUAUUCCUUAGGGCAUGCCUGUUCGAGCGUCAUUUAAACCCUCAAGCUCCGCUUGGUGUUGGGUGUCUGUCCUGCCCCCCGGGGCCGGGACUCGCCUUGAAAUCAUUGGCGGCUAGUACAUUGGCUUCGAGCGCAAGCAGAAACGCGAACCUCGGGUCCCGGUGUAUUGGCUCCCAUAAGCUACCCUUCUAUUUUGACCUCGGAUCAGGUAGGGAUACCCGCUGAACUUAAGCAUAUCAAUAAGCGGAGGAAAAGAAACCAACAGGGAUUGCCCUAGUAACGGCGAGUGAAGCGGCAAGAGCUCAAAUUUGAAAUCUGGUCCUUUUAGGGCCCGAGUUGUAAUUUGUAGAGGGUGCUUUGGCGUUGGCUGUGGUCUAAGUUCCUUGGAACAGGACGUCGCAGAGGGUGAGAAUCCCGUAUGUGGCCGCCAGCCUCCGCCGUGUAAAGCCCCUUCGACGAGUCGAGUUGUUUGGGAAU
rnacentral:sRNA from 1 species